rnacentral:rRNA from 1 species
GAUGAACGCUGGCUACAGGCUUAACACAUGCAAGUCGAGGGGCAGCAUGGGGUUUGCUUGCAAACCCCGAUGGCGACCGGCGCACGGGUGAGUAACGCGUAUCCAACCUUCCCGCGACUCGGGUAUAACCUGCCGAAAGGCAGACUAAUCCCCGAUGUCCUCCACUUUGGGCAUCUUUGGUGGAGCAAAGGCUUCGGCCGGUUGCGGAUGGGGAUGCGUCCGAUUAGCUUGUUGGCGGGGCGACGGCCCACCAAGGCUUCGAUCGGUAGGGGUUCUGAGAGGAAGGCCCCCCACAUUGGAACUGAGACACGGUCCAAACUCCUACGGGAGGCAGCAGUGAGGAAUAUUGGUCAAUGGGCGGAAGCCUGAACCAGCCAAGUAGCGUGCAGGAUGACGGCCCUAUGGGUUGUAAACUGCUUUUAUGCGGGGAUAACCGGGGCCACGCGUGGCCCCCUGCAGGUACCGCAUGAAUAAGGACCGGCUAAUUCCGUGCCAGCAGCCGCGGUAAUACGGAAGGUCCGGGCGUUAUCCGGAUUCAUUGGGUUUAAAGGGAGCGUAGGCCGUGGAUUAAGCGUGUUGUGAAAUGUAGGCGCUCAACGUCUGACUUGCAGCGCGAACUGGUCCACUUGAGUGUGCGCGACGCACCGGAAUUCGUGGUGUAGCGGUGAAAUGCUUAGAUAUCACGAGGAACCCCGAUUGCGAAGGCAGCUUGCGGGAGCACCACUGACGCUGAGGCUCGAAGGUGCGGGUAUCGAACAGG